UGGGGUGUGGCUCAGUAGUAGAGUGCAUGCCUAGCAUUCGUGAGGCACUGGGUUUGAUUCUCAGCACCGCAU
rnacentral:tRNA from 1 species